rnacentral:lncRNA from 1 species
AACGUCGAGUUUUUCCCAUUCGUCCGUUGACGUUUGGUUGUAUCCUUUUCCAGUCAUCCGUUGAUGUCUGGUCACCUCUCCGUUGGUGUCGGUAAACGUCGAGUUUCUCUUAUUCGUUCAUUGACAUAUGGUUGAGUCUUCCCAUUCAUCCAUUGAUGUCUGGUCACCUCUCCGUUGGUGUCGGUAAACGUCGAUUGUUUCCCAUUCGUCCGUUGACGUUUGGUUGUAUCCUUUUCCAGUCAUCCGUUGAUGUCUGGUCACCUCUCUGUUGGUGUCGAUAAACGUCGAGUUUCUCCCAUUCGUCCGUUGACGUAUGGUUGAGUCUUCCCAUUCAUCCGUUGAUGUCUGGUCACCUCUCCGUUGGUGUCGGUAAACGUCGAGUUUUUCCCAUUCGUC